GAUGAAGAACGUAGCGAAAUGCGAUAAGUAAUGUGAAUUGCAGAAUUCAGUGAAUCAUCGAAUCUUUGAACGCACAUUGCGCCCUUUGGUAUUCCUUAGGGCAUGCCUGUUCGAGCGUCAUUUACAAAUUCAAGCUCAGCUUGGUGAUGGGUGUCUGUCCCGCCUUUGCGCGUGGACUCGCCUCAAAUGCAGUUGGCAGCUUGUUCCUCGGCUCUAAACGCAGCAGAUUUGCGUCGAGCGUCGGGCAGACGGGCUCUCCAGUAAGCAAACCCCACAAAUUGACCUCGGAUCAGGUAGGGAUACCCGCUGAACUUAAGCAUAUCAAUAAGCGGAGGA
rnacentral:misc_RNA from 1 species